CACCGCGGUUAUACGAGAGACCCAAGUUGACAGACAAACGGCGUAAAAAGUGGUUAGUAUCAUAUUUAACUAAAGCCAAACAUCUUCAAAGUUGUCAUAUGCUAUCGAAGGAGGGAAGCACCCCAACGAAAGUGGCUUUAAACAAUACAAACCCACGAAAGCUAGGAAA
rnacentral:rRNA from 2 species